GAUGAACGCUGGCGGCGUGCCUAAUACAUGCAAGUCGAGCGAAGAGAUGCUGGUGCUUGCACCGUAACAAUUGAGCGGCGAGCGUGUGUGAAACAUGUAUAAAACCUCCAUCAGACACGGGGAACAUUGUUGAAAAGGAGAUCAAAUACGAGAUAAUAUUAAAAACCAUGGGUUUGUAGUUUAAGAGGUGUUUUCGCUAACUCUUUGAGAUAUCUGUGCGGUGCAUUAGCUAGUUGGUGGGGUAAGGGCCUACCAAGGCGACGAUGCAUAGCCGACCUGAGAGGGUGAUCGGCCACACUGGGACUGAGACACGGUCCAGACUCCUACGGGAGGCAGCAGUAGGGAAUCUUCCGCAAUGGGCGAAAGCCUGACGGAGCAACGCCGCGUGAGUGAAGAAGGAUUUCGGUUCGUAAAGCUCUGUUAUUAGGGAAGAACGAAUGUGUAGUAAACUAUGCCCGUAUAGACGGUACCUAAUCAGAAAGCCACGGCUAACUACGUG
rnacentral:rRNA from 1 species